rnacentral:rRNA from 1 species
UACAGAGGGGGCAAGCGUUAUUCGGAAUUAUUGGGCGUAAAGGGCGCGUAGGCGGCCUUUCAAGUGACGGGUGAAAUCCCUCGGCUUAACCGAGGAACUGCCUGUCAGACUGGGAGGCUUGAGACCGGGAGAGGUGAGUGGAAUUCCCAGUGUAGCGGUGAAAUGCGUAGAUAUUGGGAGGAACACCAGUGGCGAAGGCGGGUCUCUGGACAGUUCCUGACGCUGAGGCACGAAGGUCAGGGGAGCAAACGGG